rnacentral:rRNA from 1 species
CGGUAAAACGUAGGAUCCGAGCGUUAUCCGGAAUCACUGGGCGUAAAGGGCGUGUAGGCGGUUUGGCAAGUCGGUCAUGAAAGCUCCCGGCUCAACUGGGAGAGGUUGUUCGAUACUGCUAGACUAGAGGGCAAGAGAGGGAGGUGGAAUUCCCGGUGUAGAGGUGAAAUGCGUAGAUAUCGGGAGGAACACCAGUGGCGAAGGCGGCCUCCUGGCUUGCAUCUGACGCUGAGGCGCGAAAGCGUGGGGAGCAAACGGGAUUAGAAACCCCGGUAGUCCACGCCGUAAACGAUGUCAACUAGGUGUUGGGGGUAUAAAAUCCGUCAGUACCGGAGCUAACGCAUUAAGUUGACCGCCUGGGGACUACGAUCGCAAGAUUAAAACUCAAAGGAAUUGACGGGGACCCGCACAAGCAGCGGAGCGUGUGGUUUAAUUCGAGGCUACGCGAAGAACCUUACCAGGGAUUGACAUGUACGUAGUAGGGACGUGAAAACGGACCGACCCUUCGGGGAGCGUACACAGGUGAUGCAUGGCUGUCGUCAGCUCGUGCCGUGAGGUGUCAGGUUAAGUCCUGUAACGAGCGCAACCCCUGUCGUGUGUUAUACGUGUCACACGAGACUGCCGGUGUCAAACCGGAGGAAGGCGGGGAUGACGUCAAGUCAGCAUGUCCUUCAUAUCCUGGGCUACACACACGCUACAAUGGUCGGGACAACAGGCAGCCAAGCCGCGAGGCGGAGCCAAUCCUCUAAACCCGAUCCCAGUUCGGAUUGUAGGCUGCAACUCGCCUACAUGAAGUCGGAGUUGCUAGUAACCGCGCGUCAGCAACAGUGCGGUGAAUACGUUCCCGGG